rnacentral:tRNA from 1 species
GCCGAUUUAGCUCAGCUGGUAGAGCAGCGCAUUCGUAAUGCGGAGGUCGGAGGUUCAAGUCCUCUAAUCGGCACCA